GAUGAGCGCUGACAGAAUGCUUAACACAUGCAAGUCUACUUGAUUCUACCUCGGUAGUUGAUGGUGGCGGACGGGUGAGUAACGCGUAAAGAAUCUGCCCUUUAGUUUGGGAUAACCUUUGGAAACGAAGGCUAAUACCGGAUAUUAUGGAGACGUCGCAUGGCGACUCCAUGAAAGCUAUAUGCGCUAGAGGAGGACUUUGCGUCCCAUUAGUUAGUUGGUGAGGUAAUGGCUCACCAAGACCGCGAUGGGUAGCCGGCCUGAGAGGGUGAUCGGCCACAAGGGAACUGAGACACGGUCCUUACUCCUACGGGAAGCAGCAGUGGGGAAUAUUGGACAAUGGGCCACAAGCCUGAUCCAGCGAUUCUGUGUGCACGAUGAAGGUCUUCGGAUUGUAAAGUGCUUUCAGUAGGGGAGAAAAAAAUGACGGUACCUACAGAAGAAGCGACGGCUAAAUAUGUGCCAGCCGCCGCGGUAAAAC
rnacentral:rRNA from 1 species